UACGUAGGGGGGCAAGCGUUGUCCGGAAUCAUUGGGCGUAAAGAGCGCGUAGGCGGCCCGGUAAGUCCGCUGUGAAAGUCGAGGGCUCAACCCUCGAAUGCCGGUGGAUACUGUCGGGCUUGAGUACGGGAGAGGCGAGUGGAAUUCCUGGUGUAGCGGUGAAAUGCGCAGAUAUCAGGAGGAACACCGAUUGCGAAGGCAGCUCGCUGGAACGUUACUGACGCUGAGACGCGAAAGCGUGGGGAGCAAACAGG
rnacentral:rRNA from 1 species